UGCACCUUGACGGUACCUAACCAGAAAGCCACGGCUAACUACGUGCCAGCAGCCGCGGUAAUACGUAGGUGGCAAGCGUUGUCCGGAAUUAUUGGGCGUAAAGGGCUCGCAGGCGGUUUCUUAAGUCUGAUGUGAAAGCCCCCGGCUCAACCGGGGAGGGUCAUUGGAAACUGGGAAACUUGAGUGCAGAAGAGGAGAGUGGAAUUCCACGUGUAGCGGUGAAAUGCGUAGAGAUGUGGAGGAACACCAGUGGCGAAGGCGACUCUCUGGUCUGUAACUGACGCUGAGGAGCGAAAGCGUGGGGAGCGAACAGGAUUAGAUACCCUGGUAGUCCACGCCGUAAACGAUGAGUGCUAAGUGUUAGGGGGUUCCGCCCUUUAGUGCUGCAGCUAACGCAUAA
rnacentral:rRNA from 1 species